AGCAGUAUAGUCUAAUGGUAAACGUGGGUUCGAUUCCUACUACUGCUA
rnacentral:tRNA from 1 species